UGAACGUCGUGGUGAAUUUCCAAUAAUUUCUAUUGAACUCAUUUAUUCACAUAACCCGUUAAACCAUAUUCCCCGGGUUUUCCCAGUUAUCAAGAAAACUACAAGGUCAAUAAGAAAACGACCGCCCGAUACUACACGAUAAAAUUAUUUUUUAGAAAAAAUGCUAUAUUUGAAUUUUAAAGCGAGAUUUACGAUAGUAAAACUAAAUCGAGAACAACUUUUCAUGUCGACAAUUUGUCUGUUUUUGCUAUACGUUUUUUUCCCUGGUAUUCCUCAACUAUUUUUAAUGAACUACUCGGAAAAUAAAAAAACCAUUUAAAAUAAAUUAACCGUGUAAAAAAAAAAAAAACCUCAUACAAAUCCAAUAUAAUAUAUUUCUCGUUGUGCUCAGAAUCCAAACAUAUCAAUUUACGCUGUACGAUAUUGAGUUAGUUUCGAAAUCCCGGUAACUUAAGUAAACCAUAGACUAUAGGGGUAUUAUAAGAAACCCUUAAGAGUUAACGAUGUAUUCGGAACACUUCUAAGUAUAACGUUUUAUAUGGUAUUGACCUGAUUACGUGUAUUCGUGGUUUCUGCAAGGAUAAGAGGUACGUGUAAUUUCGUACGAGGUUGAGUUGAUUGUUCCAAUGAGAUAAUGCAGUAUUAAAUACAUUGGUUCGAGUUAAUGUACACGAGAUUGAGACGAGAAUCGAAUUUAAAACUAUUAAAAAUACUACAACAGCGUGUAUUGUUUCGUCCUAUUCGGUAAUAGACUUAAAUAUAGUGAACCGAACAGAAUACCCGAAUAAACAUCACGAAUCGACUUAAACAUAUCUUUUCGAUUUCGCUUU